GAUUCUGCCCUACGGGGAAGGAUGAGAAGCUUCGACUAAGGUUCGACUCGAGCGCCAGCAAGAGAACGUUGCCAAGGGCAACGGCCCGAAGGGCGAGGAGCGAUAGCGACGAGUUAUCCUUCCCCCACCACCA
rnacentral:sRNA from 1 species